rnacentral:lncRNA from 1 species
UUCCUUCUGCAGCGCUUUACGGGUGCGUUUGGUUCGCGCUAUCUUUUAAAGAUUCCUAAUAAUUCAAUGGGAAUAAAAAAAUAUAACGGUAUUUGGCUAAACGUACUAAGUAAUCUAGUUGGUAAUAUUGGAUUCACUUGGGAAUAAGAUUUAUACCAAAGUACUAAUCUCAUUUUCUUGAGGGAGGAUGGAUAUCCUCAUAUUAAUGGAUUGGGGUAAUCAUAAUAUGUCUAAUUUUUUUCUGUCUUCCUAUCCGCCGGCUAAUUGAUAUUAUUUUUUUUUACACUCUAACCUUAUAUCUCUCUCUAAACUUAUUUUUCUCUCUAAAAUUCAACUUUUUUUUCUCUCUCCAAACUAAGCUCUCUCUCUCUCUUUCUAAAAUUUCAACUCUCUCACUUCCUCUAAUUUCGACUAUAUUUUUCUUUCUAUUUUUUUAAUUAUGCUCUCUCUCUCUAACUUAUACGCUCUCUCUAUUUUUUCUAAAAAGAUAUUGAAACUUUUGGUAACAUUAUCUAAAAUUAAUUGUAUAUUUUUUGUAAUAUUAAAUAACAUGACUAAUUAAUAUUACCGUGCGAACCAAACACAGAAAUUCCACAUUCUUAGUAAUAGGAUGAAUAUGAAUAAGAUUCUCGGAUAUCUUUUAUUCCUAGUAAUCUUUUAUAAUGCGAACCAAACGCAUCCUACAAGUAAUCCCAACCCUUCCUUUUUGCCUGGUCGGCGGCACGUGUCACUUUUCCAAUGGCCAACCAUUGUGCACCUGGUCCAGUGGGACCACACCAAACUUGGACGUAUCCUCCUCGGCCCACUCAAUGAAAAAGGAACCCCCCACUCCAUAGCUCUAUAAAACGAAAAAUUCUAGAAUGCAACGGGUAUAUUAGUGACGUGGCGUAACAAACCAAUCAAAUUAAUCCUUUUAAGAAUAUAUGUUCCAUCAUGAUUGUAAAAAAAUACUUUUAUUGUACUUUUGUUUGAAAUGAAGGAAUGUGAUUGGCUUGUUAUUGAUGACGUGGUGCAAGUGUGACAGUGUAGAAUUCCUCCUA